rnacentral:rRNA from 1 species
AGAGUUUGAUCCUGGCUCAGGACGAACGCUGGCGGCGUGCCUAAUACAUGCAAGUCGAGCGGUCCCCUUCGGGGAUAGCGGCGGACGGGUGAGUAACACGUAGGCAACCUGCCUGUAAGAUCGGGAUAACUAUCGGAAACGAUAGCUAAGACCGGAUAGCUGGUUUUCUCGCAUGAGAGAACCAUGAAACACGGGGCAAC